GCGACCCCAGGUCAGACGGGACCACCCGCU
rnacentral:rRNA from 1 species